UACACCUUGUCCUACAUAACAGAUCUCUGUGGAACGUAGUCUGAAAUGUUAAUGUUAAUUAAACAGAACAAAGUCAUCACAAAAUGAUGUCUAGUGAAAAAAUUACAAAUCUGAUCUGUACACAUAAAUAAAUAUGUAUUAAUUGUGCAACCAAAUCGUCCAAACCCCAAACAACGACACAUAGUUGGUAUUUAUGAAUAAAACUAAUUAAAAAACUAUCAAAAUUCUGUUUAAUGAAGAAAAGAAAAAGAUUCUGAUCGUAACCCACACAGGGUCUGAACGUUGGCUGAAGUUAUGUCCAUUUUAAUUUAAGUUUUAUUUUAUCGUUGUUAACUUUUGACAAUCAACAACAAACUAUAAUACGUAUGAACUUUUCUUUUGACAGGUAAACAAGCUCCUCGGCAAGACCUCCUCGUUCUGGACACCAACAUUCUGAUCAGUCACCUGGAUUACGUGAAGGAGAUCAAAGCCAACGGCCUUGGAGCCGUGGGCUUCCCCAUCGUCCUGAUCCCCUGGGUGGUCCUGCAGGAGCUGGACUCCCUGAAAAAGACCCUAACCCUUCAGACAAUACAACAUCAAAAGGUCAUACAUCAAAAGAAAACAGGCAUGAACCCCAACAACACCCCUCCGUGGGGUUCCUCCCUCCCUCUGUGCUCUCCUUCCUCUCCAGCAACGAUAAGAACCUCUGCAGCAAGGCCCUCCUGAGCGGAGUGAACGCGCUCAGCAAGAACGACCUGGAGGACCAGAGUAGACAGUCCAGACGCGGCCUCCAUCCCCCGCAGCACACACACACACACCAGCCCGGCCACGCAGUCGAGAGGGAACAGGAAGAGGAAGUGGCCUCCCUGUGGAAGGUGACACAGACAGCCAGCAGCUGAGGCCCAGAGACGAUGAAGAGGAGACCCGGUGGGUCUCGAGCCGCCGCGAGCUCGCCGACUGUCUGGUGGAGGUUCUGUACGAAGUGUUGGAGCUGGAGAUGAAGGCCGUCCAGACCACAUUGAGCCUGUGAUGUCUCUGCUGCUCUCAGAUCGUGUUCCUGAAGCCGCCGUGGACUCUCCACGAUGUCCUGCGGUGCUUGAAGAAGCACUGGAUCGCUGUGUUCGGCCAGGUGGCCUCACGGAGGCAGCUGGACAAUGUAUUACACCUGAUCGACUUCUUCAACUCAGAUGAUACAGCGCUGGGGAACCACCGAGGACUGAAGGUGAGGGAUGGACGUUGAAGACCAGAGGACCGAGCGCGGCCGCCUCCGCCUCUCAGGAUUCUGCAUCGGAGAAGAACAUCGAUUUGUUUAUGAAAAUGUGCCAAAGGCAUCGAGACGAGAAGGCCAAGCGGAGCCGGUGUACCGAGGCAACCUCUUCCUCUACCAUAGGGACUUCCUCCUCUUCCUCUACCAUAGGGACUGCCUCCUUUUCCUCUACCAUAGGGACUGCCUCCUUUUCCUCUACCAUAGGGACUGCCUCCUCUUCCUCCAAGCAGAAGGUCAGCAGCUCAGACGCUGUGAAGAAUGUGAGAACCAUCCCGGGGACCGUCCCCUCCAUGUCACACGCGACAGUCAAGUCGUCUGUUCAGGAACAAAUAUGCCGCCAAAAAAGUCUCGACCGACACCGGUCGGUCGCCCCGGUAACGACGAUGCUGCCAGUUCUUCAAACGGGAAUGUUGAACACGGGGCCGAGCCUUCGGGCUCGAGAAGCAACGCUGCUCGGGGGCCACACCCGGUUCUGCACCUGAAGGUCAAGAGAGGUUGUGUUCGUCCCACGCGAUCACCGAGCUGCGGAGCGACCAGAUGCAGGUGAUGGAACAGCUCACGCACUCCGGGAGGCGACUGGAGGUGAACGGUCUGCAGGUCUACGGGGAGCUCAUCUGCAUGGACAUCGACCCGCCGCGGGAGGGCACUGCAGACUCACUAUGUAAACAAGCUCCUCGGCAAGACCUCCUCGUUCUGGACACCAACAUUCUGAUCAGUGUUAAGAAUAUAAAAAUACAUACAUAGUCCCCCAUGUCCCUCACUUUGCAUUAAGGCCCCGAAGCACCAAACCUUGUGUCCUUCUAUGGCUCGAUUCCGUUUUCGGGCUCUGACCAGAGAGAACAGCUCAUACGCAUGCUCACCCACAUGUUUUGGAACAUACUGACACUGCUGGAUAAGAAGCACAGAUACUGUAGGAACAAACACUUCUUGACCUCGGCCAGAAGAUGACACAUCCACACAGGGAAGAUAAUCAGGAACUCUGUGAAACCCUUGGCUCUGACCUCAUCCUGACUGCUCAGUCGUAGAAUUGAGAUUUAAUAAGAGCCGUACCUGUCACCGUCAAAGAACUUGUUUAUGUCAGCAACAGAUAGUUUCAAUGCCUUUUUAGUUUCUAUUAUAUUAAAGAAACUGCACAGCUCCUGCUUUAGAUGGAGAACAACAUACACACACACUGAUUAUGAUGAUGGUGAGAAGAUCGUGAGCCAAGAGGGUGGGACGACCCUGAGCUCCAUCAGAAGGUGUUCAAAGUCUAAACCAGGAACACCUCCAUCUGUUUUAACCAAUCACUGCUGCUGUCGUGAGCCCAGAGGGUGGGACCACCCUGAGCUCCAACGAUGAGACGGACAAAGAUUAAACCGAGUGACGUCUCCAUCUAUAUUAUCUAAUCACGCUUGCUCUUAAAGAUAUAAAAAGUCAUGUUCUCCCAGAGAACUGGAGUCUGUUAUCGAACGAUGUUUUGAGCUGACUUCAUCCAGGCCCGUGCUGCACGUUAAAUGUUUUGUGUCUUUGAGACUUUUGUUCGACCACACUUAAUUAAAUCCACUUUGUUUUGAAUUUUA